GCGGAAGUAGCUCAGUGGUAGAGCAUCUCCUUGCCAAGGAGAAGGCCGCGGGUUCGAACCCCGUCUUCCGCUCCA
rnacentral:tRNA from 1 species